rnacentral:rRNA from 1 species
UACGGGGGGAGCAAGCGUUGUUCGGAUUUACUGGGCGUAAAGGGCGCGUAGGCGGCUCUCUAAGUCCCGUGUGAAAGCCCCCGGCUCAACCGGGGAACUGCACGGGAAACUGGAAGGCUUGAGUUCGGGAGAGGGAAGCGGAAUUCCGGGUGUAGCGGUGAAAUGCGUAGAUAUCCGGAGGAACACCGGUGGCGAAGGCGGCUUCCUGGACCGACACUGACGCUGAGGCGCGAAAGCUAGGGGAGCAAACGGG